AGCGCUGCCACUGCGGAGCCGGGCGGGACCGACCCCCGGUUCCCCCCCUCCCUGCGCAAAAUGGCUUGUUUUCCAAUAGAAAUAAAAGCAAAGAGCUAAUUCUGCAAUCCCGAGGUAGGCAGCGCUCGCGCUGAAAUCAAGGGGAGGCUUGUCUUGGCGCACAGAUUGCAGUUAGGUGUCUGUGCAGCAACAGGAGGCCAUCGAUUUGGGACAGCGCUCGGAGGCACGGGCAGUCGCAGCCCUUGGUGCUACGGAGAGCAAGGCGUGCUGCCGGCAGAAGUGCAGAGGCAAACAUCUGUCUGCGGUGGGGACCCUGGGGCUGGUGGCCUGCAGAAUGCUGGGGAAUAAGGGCUGCUUCCCCGCCAUCGCUGACCCGGGGGAUUCUUACCAGAGGGAGGACAGAAUUGUUGGUGAUCGUGGUAAAAUGCGAACAAAUCUAUGAUACGGGGCAGAGAGUGUGUGCGGGGGAGAGGGAGCAUGCACAAGCGUGAGGCAGAG
rnacentral:lncRNA from 1 species